UCCUAGCAUUCUUCUGCUGUGCAUUUGUUC
rnacentral:piRNA from 1 species